rnacentral:rRNA from 1 species
GAUAAACGCUGGCGGCGUGCUUAACACAUGCAAGUCGAACGAAGUUUUUCCUUCGGGAGAAACUUAGUGGCGGACGGGUGAGUAACGCGUGGGUAACCUGCCCUGUACAGGGGGACAACAGCUGGAAACGGCUGCUAAUACCGCAUAAGCACUUAGCACUGCAUGGUGCAUAGGGAAAAGGAGCAAUCCGGUACAGGAUGGACCCGCGUCUGAUUAGCCAGUUGGCAGGGUAACGGCCUACCAAAGCGACGAUCAGUAGCCGAUCUGAGAGGAUGUACGGCCACAUUGGGACUGAGACACGGCCCAGACUCCUACGGGAGGCAGCAGUGGGGAAUAUUGCACAAUGGAGGAAACUCUGAUGCAGCGACGCCGCGUGAGUGAAGAAGUAUUUCGGUAUGUAAAGCUCUAUCAGCAGGGAAGAAAAUGACGGUACCGGACUAAGAAGCACCGGCUAAAUACGUG